rnacentral:misc_RNA from 1 species
GAUGAAGAACGCAGCGAAACGCGAUAAGUAAUGUGAAUUGCAGAAUCCAGUGAAUCAUCGAAUCUUUGAACGCACAUUGCGCCCGCCAGCAUUCUGGCGGGCAUGCCUGUUCGAGCGUCAUUUCAACCCUCGACCUCCCCUUGGGGAGGUCGGCGUUGGGGACCGGCAGCACACCGCCGGCCCUGAAAUGGAGUGGCGGCCCGUCCGCGGCGACCUCUGCGCAGUAAUACAGCUCGCACCGGGACCCCGACGCGGCCAAGCCGUAAAACACCCAACUUCUGAACGUUGACCUCGAAUCAGGUAGGACUACCCGCUGAACUUAAGCAUAUCAUAAGCGGAGGA